CCUGAGAUCAAAAUAGAUAAGGAUAGCAUGACAAACCCUUCCAAAAAAAAUCUGGAUCUUCAUCUCAGAUUUUGAGAAAAUUCCAAGGCUAUAGGCUUACUGUUUUUUUCGGCAAAAAAGUAAAGCAUUUGCUAGAAUAAUUCUAGGACGCUUUUCCUACGUGAAAAAGCGUAUCGAACAAGAGGCCGUCAAUGAAAUUGAGCUGGCGUAAGAUUCCAUCGAGAUUCGAAUUCCUGAGAUCAAAAUACAUAAG